rfam:Nocardioides sp. JS614, complete genome.
CCGUGCUCACCUUUACGACGGAUCGUCCGGCACGUACCUGCCGGUGAAGGAGUUGUUC